rnacentral:rRNA from 2 species
GAUACACCUGUUCCCAUGUCGAACACAGAAGUUAAGCUUCUUAGCGCCGAGAGUAGUUGGGGGAUCGCUCCCUGCGAGGGUAGGACGUUGCCAUGC